GACAGAGGGUGCAAACGUUGUUCGGAAUUACUGGGCGUAAAGCGCGUGUAGGCGGCUGCGCAAGUCGGAUGUGAAAUCCCAUGGCUCAACCAUGGAAGUGCACCCGAAACUGCGUAGCUUGAGUCUCGGAGAGGAAGGCGGAAUGCUUGGUGUAGAGGUGAAAUUCGUAGAUAUCAAGCGGAACACCGGUGGCGAAGGCGGCAUCCUGGACCGAGAUUGACGCUGAUGCGCGAAAGCCAGGGGAGCAAACGGG
rnacentral:rRNA from 1 species